CAUAGCCGCGGGAAUACGAAGGGGGCUAGCGUUGUUCGGAAUCACUGGGCGUAAAGGGUGCGCAGGCGGGCAUUUAAGUCAGGGGUGAAAUCCCGAGGCUCAACCUCGGAACGGCCUUUGAUACUGGAUGUCUUGAGUCCGGAAGAGGUGAGUGGAACUGCGAGUGUAGCGGUGAAAUGCGUAGAUAUAGGAAGGAACACCAGUGGCGAAGGCGACCACCUGGACUGAUACUGACACUGAGGUGCGAAAGCGUGGGGAGCAAACAGGAUUAGAUACCCCUGUAGUCCCUGUCUCUUAUACA
rnacentral:rRNA from 1 species